GCGGCCGAUUAGGUAGUUGGUUAGGUAAUGGCUUACCAAGCCGUUGAUCGGUACGGGUUGUGAGAGCAAGAGCCCGGAGAUGGAACCUGAGACAAGGUUCCAGGCCCUACGGGGUGCAGCAGGCGCGAAACCUCCGCAAUGUGAGAAAUCGCGACGGGGGGAUCCCAAGUGCCAUUCUUAACGGGAUGGCUUUUCAUUAGUGUAAAGAGCUUUUGGAAUAAGGGCUGGGCAAGACCGGUGCCAGCCGCCGCGGUAACACCGGCAGCUCUAGUGGUAGCAGUUUUUAUUGGGCCUAAAGCGUCCGUAGCCGGUUUAAUAAGUCUCUGGUGAAAUCCUGUAGCUUAACUGUGGGAAUUGCUGGAGAUACUAUUAGACUUGAGACCGGGAGAGGUUAGAGGUACUCCCAGGGUAGAGGUGAAAUUCUGUAAUCCUGGGAGGACCGCCUGUUGCGAAGGCGUCUAACUGGAACGGUUCUGACGGUGAGGGACGAAAGUUAGGGGCGCGAACCGGAUUAGAUACCCGGGUAGUCCUAACUGUAAACGAUGCGGACUUGGUGUUGGGGUGGCUUUGAGCUGCUCCAGUGCCGAAGGGAAGCUGUUAAGUCCGCCGCCUGGGAAGUACGGUCGCAAGACUGAAACUUAA
rnacentral:rRNA from 1 species